UCUUGAGCUGGUGUCGAGAGGGUGGAGGGUUUAUUCCCGCCGCCCACACAACCCUUAUCCCUAGUUGGUACGCAAGAGCACUCUAGGGAGGCAAACCGGUGUGGACCUGGAGGAAGGUGGGGAUGACGUCAAGUCCUCAUGCCCCUUAUGGGUAGGGCUUCACACGUCAUACAAUGGUGGAAACAAAGGGUCGCCAACCCGUGAGGGGGAGCCAAUCCCAGAAAAACGGUCUCAGUUCGGAUCGCACUCUGCAACUCGAGUGCGUGAAGCUGGAAUCGCUAGUAAUCGCGGAUCAGCAUGCCGCGGUGAAUACGUUCCCGGGUCUUGUACACACGAAACCGUCACACCAUGGGAGUGGGUUUUGCCAGAAGUCGCUAGUCUAAUCCGCAAGGAGGGCGCUCCCCCCUCUCUCUUUGUUAAGUGCAUGACUGGGGUGAUGUCGUAACAAGGUAGCCGUA
rnacentral:rRNA from 1 species